rnacentral:lncRNA from 1 species
AUCUGUCUUGACUGAAGUUUCUGAUCCAAUGUCAACCAAUCCAAAAUCCAUGAAUGUGUUUGAAUCAGCUGGAACUCCUGAGCUUUCUUCUACACUUACUAGUUAUGAUGGCGACGACGGAGAUUGGGCCACUCAAGAAAGUACUCUCCUUGGUGAUGAUGUCAAUGAGUAUGAAUUAGAGCCAAAAAGAAGGUACCUUUGUUCUUCUUUCGCUUUAUCUAUUUCUGAAAUGAGUUUAACCUUUAUACACUGAUAGUAUAAAACCGUCUAAAAGAUAACUACAGGCAAUCGUCCAUGAAAAAGUGGGAUUAGUAACCUAGAAAAUAAGGCAGAUAGAAAAUACACUAAUAAUAGUGUAAAAAACUUUUAGAGGAGGGUUAUUAUGUGAGUGUUUACAACACUAAUGGUGAUCCAUUGCAUUUAUUUAAGAUGUGGAAUUACCCUUGACCUCAGGAAGAAAGAAAGUUAUUCAGCUGAACCAAGUUUAUUAUCAAGAACAGUGAGAGAAUCAAAAGUAGUCCUCCAGGUAGAGAGUGAGAUCGAUAUUCUUGAAGACGGCUAUCGCUGGAGAAAAUAUGGCCAAAAAGUUGUCAAAGGGAACCCAAACCCCAGGUAUCUAUUUAUAGGAGGAUAACAUGUAAAUUUCUUAGUUGUAGUUCCCUUGACAGCUUUCUUUUGAUUCUAUUCUUUUAACUCUUGGAAGGGAAGCCUUGGCGUAACCGGUAAAAUUGUUGACAUGUUACCAGGAGUAACGGGUUCGAGCCGUGGAAACAUCUUCUUGCAGAAAUACAGGAUAAGACUGCGUACAAUAGACCUUUGUGGUCCGGCCCUUUCGAGGACCCCGCACAUAGCGGGAGUUUAGUGCACCAGACUGCCUCUUAACUCGUUGAUAUUUAUAAAGAAAUGUUUCCUGUGUAGGAGCUACUAUAAAUGUACCAAUGCUGGAUGCAUAGUGAGGAAGCAUGUGGAAAGGGCUUCAGAUAACUUAAAAUCAGUAAUCACAACAUAUGAGGGGAAACACAACCAUGAAGUGCCUACAGCAAACAAAACAAAUGGUGUUGCUGGACACAUUCGUUCAGCAUCCACGUUGAACGGGCAACCUAAUUGUAUGACAACUCGAAAAAGUGUCAAAGGUUCAAAUUGCAGAAUGCAAGUUCAAGAUCUUCCAUUUCCAUUCGAAAGAAAACCUUUCGUUGGAAGUGAAUAUUUAAGGCCAAGUUUUGUUGGAAGUUACCUCGGUGACUUGAGUUUUGGAGCUUGUUCAUUGCAGCUUCCGAAUUUUCCAUUGCCAUUGCCAUCGCGAAUGAGUUUUCCUGCAAGAUUAAAUGAGCCUCCUCUUGGUGACUUUCAUUUGAAUAACCAUCAUUUACUGCCAAAUGGU